ensembl:lncRNA
UAAACAUUUUUUUCAUGCUACUCACACAUCCUUAAAACUAGAGCAAGCAUUUUGCAGACUACAAGCAUACUCCAAGAAGCCAAACUUCACACCUCCAAACUUUAUUUGGAUUAAAUACUGUUCUGCUAGAUAGAAGCAGUGAUUCUGCUCAUCAGACAUACUGCUGCCUCAUCAAGAAUUGCUAUGUUUAUUUUGCCAGAGGCUGUAUCUUCAGAAAGUAACCAAUGGUAGAGAAGCCCAAAUGAAACACAUCUGCAGAACAGAGACACUGUUACCCACAUCUUUCUUCUCUAUGAAGCAGAACUAUAGUAGCUUUAUUGCUUACUAAGUCUUCCAGAAACACUAGAGAUGCUGUCACUCAUGGGAGGACACACUUUGUUCAAAAAAAAAAAAAAAAAGAAAAAAAGAAGAAAAAAAGAAAAAGAAAAAGAAAAAAAGAGAGAAAGAAAGAAAAAGAAGACAAGAACACAUGUUUUUGAAUGAAGACUCUUCCACAGCUGCAGACUCUGGCAUAUCACACAGUAGACUGGCAGGAGAAUACUUCCUUCUCAUCUAUGUUCAACAGAGGAAGAGUGGGAUUUUCUACCUGGCUCUAACCUGAAGAAAGAGUUCUUUCCUCAUAGCGCUACUGCUGGCCUGGGCUUCAUCCUUCCCGUAAAACUGAAUACACAUCUUCAGCAUUUCCUGUUGUCCCUCUUCAGACCCAGGAUGCCCAGUACAGGCCAAGUAAAGACUGCUGUGUACCUGUUCUAGCAGAUGAGACGUCAGGAAGUUCUUCUUCUUCUUCUUUUUUUUUUUUUUUAGUGUUUCACUAACACUUUUCAAACUAGCUAGAGCUACUUGAUAUCAACCAUAACACUUGGGACUGCUUACUGCCAGAGAGGGUUCAUUAAAGGGCUUUAAAUCUUUCUCUUACUAAAGUUUUCAGUUGUGUGAAUUAACUAAGUACUAGUUACCUACUCACUACUCUGGUCAAGGCAGGGAAAACAUUUUGUACUGUUCUACUAGACUGCUGUUUGUUAUAUAAGUUUCUGAAGCUUAUCAUUAAAACAGGCUUUGGUGUCACUGAAACUGUAACUCAGUUAACAGUGCCAAGAGCUGAUGGGAUAAACAACAUAUUGAAGUGUUUUUAUUGUCUUAUUGAUAAAGCUGUUUUGUAAUAUUUUCUUCUGUGUUCACACAGACUGUGUGUCCUAAUACUCAGUGACCCAUUGCCCCCUAAGUCAUUGAAGUACUCAGAAAUUUUAUGACCGGUCUUCCGUCAGGAAGUUAUACACAAGCUGAACUUCAGGCAUGUGAAGCAUCUCAUUGAAGUUUCCCAUUUCAAGUUCAUACCCAUGUGUCUGUAGGAUGAUAGUAUCUCAGCAUCUUCAUGCUUCUCGAUUAAAGGCUAGUAAUUGGAGCCAGCUUCCAGUAGUAUGGGCAACGUUUCCUUCUGCAGCACUGAGGUCUCAGGAUAGGAGCUCCUGUAAUAAAAAGAGAUAAAAAGGAUAGCCCAAGGGAAGUCAGAUUUACUGUUUCUGGAUGGGCCUACCUCAUGUAUUUCAAAUCCCAGUGGCCAUACCAGGACUAUAGCUUGUACAAAGUGAUGGCUGUGGGCUCUUGUCCUCAGCUAAUCUUGCUGCACCAGUAACCACUAAUCUUUCCUGUACCUGGAGCUGGCUACAGUCACCAUCAUUCUUGACAUUGCCAUAGCCCAGAGACAUAAGUAAGGAGACCAGAGAUAAAGUGACACCAAUGCACAACAAAAGGAUCCCAGGUGUACCAAGCCUCUCACUGAAGAAACUCAUUUCUCCCUUUUUUUCUGGAGCCAGAGAGUACUUGACAUCUUUGAGGUUUCUUGAGAGGUUUCUUCAUGGCCUUUUCCACAUACCUGAAGCAUAACCUCUGACUUAUUUUCAUCUUAAAGCAAAAGUGAAAAUCUAUCAGAAGAGAACACCAAAGAAGAAAAAGUUGAUGAAAACUCCUGACUACUUGGAAGACAAAAUCAGAAAUGUUGCAGGUAUUUAUAAUAAAUGAACUGUUUGGACUAUAAGCUAUCUCUAUGAAGAGAAAUGUUGCCUUUGCUCCAUUCUCUGUAGUGAGGACAUUUGGACUGCAUUAAGCCACAGAGUGGGAGGGGAUUUCAGAAAAUUUUUCCUGCCAAAAUUGCAUGUAAGGCUGCUUAAAAAAAAAUAAGAGUCUGAUUGUUAUAAAGCUUAAUGUUAUGAUGUUUUCAAUUAGUUUAAAAGCUUUUUUUAUUGAUCAUUUUUAUUACGGUUGUUCAGUUAUUUUGUAACUCUUAUUUGGAAUAAGUCACAGUUUAUUUAAAGCAUCUUGAACUACAUUGCUUUUUCAAGUCUUAUCAAGAACGAGUACUGUGCUGGGUCAGUCUAUACACUUUUAAGUUUUAGCAUUUUUAAUGUAAUGUUUCAAUGUUCAUUUUGUGUUUGUUUUUUAUCCAUUGACCUUGUUUUGUGAGAUUUUGUGUAAGGCUUAGCUUCAGUUUAUUUGAGGGUGCUAGACACCUUGUGGAAUUUUUGCUGUUGUUUUCUAAGUUUUAACAUAUUCUAAUACAUUUGUCUACAAGUCAAAUAUGAUAUGGAGACUUUUGUGAGUAGAUUUGUUUAUGUUACUUUUAUCUUACUUUCCUAACUUAUGUAAUGUAUCCUUAUUCAUUUGCAUUUAAAUAUUUCAUUUCUGGUUAAACAUAUUUUGUUCUGCCUUGAGCCUAGUUUCUGCAUGUUUUCUUAUUUUCCUAUUAAUGAUUUUAAAAUUCUGAAAACCAGUUGGUGUGUCAAGAAGUUCAGUGCUGUUUGGAUGAUAUCCAUGCCACAUAAACUUUUAAUACACAAGCGCAGCAGAUGAGUUGCAAUGCAAUACCUAUGCUGAAGAUUUGCCAGAGCUGAAGAUUUAGUAUUAAUUGAAUAUAAAUUGCUACAAUAUAAUUAUCCUAAGUACUUUAAGCUAUUAAAUAUAAGUAACUUGAUCUAUUUCUAAACCAAUUAUAAGCUGCAGGGAAUGUGAGGGAGAGGGAGGAGGUUGUGAAGGAAAACUGGAGAAAGAGAAAGGAAAUGGAGAAAGGAAUAAAUUAAAGAAGAUCAAGUGAUUUGUAUGAAGGAAAAUACAGCUAUAAAAUUAUCUGUGAGAGCACGACAGGUUGUCUGCUAAUUUUUGAAUAAUUUAUGGAUGUAAAUAUAACUAUAAAUCUUCCCAUAUCAUACAUUUAAGAAAAAUGUAAGUAACACUUAAGGAAUUACUGUAGUGAUCAGGGAUAUCUGUGCUUCACAAAGAAAUGGGAAGAGGUAAUAAGGAGAAGAAUGGAGUAUUUCAUUCCUUAAGCUGAUGCCAUACUCUUUUUUCCCUUCUGUCACAAAAAUCCUUUCUCUGCAUAACCAACCUCGAACUCUGACUGACAUGUCCCACAGCUAUAAAAAAGGACCACACUGUAAGAGAACUGCAUCACUAAACAACCUCAGCAUGCAUCUGAUGUUAUUAGGUUGUCCUUAAUCAAUCUGGAAAAGAGAAGACACCAGGAGGCUGAGAUCAGCUUAUGCUGGUGUCCAAUAAUUUAGCAGUUAUUCAGGUGCAUGUCUUUUUCACUAUAAAAUCCUUUUUUUCUUUCUCUUUCAUUUUUUUUUUCCUUUUCCCUAGCCCUAUCUGAUGUUGGCUUCUUGAUGCUAUUCGUGUUUACAAUGUUUUGACAGAUGGUAGGCUCAGGGCAUAUUGCCCUUUCCACACAGAAUUCAGGGGGAAAAAAAAGUGUUGUCAGUGCCUUGGAUAGCCUUUCUGAACAAACAGGCUUAGCUCAAGUCUCUAGAAGUUUAAAAAAAGAGGAGAAAUACGACUGUGACCAGAAAUGAGGGCCAACCAUAUAAGUUUAUUUUAAACUUCAAAAGUGGCAGUUUUACUCUGAAGCUGUUUCUAAAAUUCAGCAAAGGAGCAGAAGGGAGACAAAACUGAAGUCAGAAUGGGUGAACUGCUUAAGCACAUUAUCUGGCACUGUUCUAGUAAUGUGGAAAAUUUGUAAUGAAACAAAAUGUUUGAUAAUCUACAAACUCAAAUAAGGGACUCAUUAAAAACAUUUGUACAGUCCUUGCCACAGCUAAGUGAUACUUUGUGUGUAGGAUAAAUAUAAUAAUAAUAAUAAUAA